rnacentral:rRNA from 1 species
AUGGCUCCUUUUCUUAACCCCUCUCCAGAACUCAAGCAUGCCCUCCUGUGGUCAGUACCAAUACUCAUCAUAGCUCCCACAGUGAUCUUCUUGUACAUGCAAGCUGUUGGCAAGAAGAAGAACACCAUCCGUCUUCCUCCGAGUGCAAAAUUGAUUACUUAUGGCCAACAAGACAUCGCGUUCUCGCCGUACAACGCGAGCUGGCGUGAGAGGCGUAAGCUGUUCGUCUCAGAGCUCGUAAGCAGCAAGCGCGUCCAGUCCUUCGCUUACGCACUAGAAGCUCAGGUCGGCGAGCUGAUCCAGUCACUCUCACUACGGUCUCCGCCUACGGAGGCCGUCAACCUCAACGAGACCCUCUUCACGCUCAUUGACGGCUUCAUCGGCAGGGUGGCGUUCGGGAGCAUGAACGGCGCCAAGCUCAUGAAGUAUGCCAAGUUCCAGCAGGUGUUCAGCGAGGCCAUGGUCGCCCUCUCCGCCUUUUCUGCGCAGGAUUUCUUCCCGACCUUGCCGAUGAGCCGGUGGUUCGACAAGCUUGUGGGGCUGGAGGCACGGUACCAGAGGAUAUUCCUAGAGCUGGACUCAUACUUCGAAAUGGUGCUUAGCCAGCAUAUGGAUCCUGGGAGGGUGAAGCCCGACAAAGAUGACCUUGUGGAUGUGUUGAUCAGUCUAUGGAAGCGGCAAGGGAAGGUCACAAAGGACCACCUCAAGGCUCUUCUAAUGGAUGCAUUUAUCGGUGGCACGACGACGAGCUCGGUGACAUUGUUGUGGGCUAUCUCUGAGCUAAUCAAGAACCCGGCGGUGAUGAAGAAGGCACAGGCAGAGAUAAGGAGUUUGGUUCGUGUCAAACAGAGACUGGUGCAGGUCGACGACCUCUGUAAACUCAACUACCUGAAGAUGGUCGUCAAAGAAACACUACGACUACACCCGCCGGCGCCGCUGCUCGUCCCUAGGGAGACCAUGGACCAUGUGAAGGUCCUCGGGUACGACAUUCCCUCGAAGACAAGGAUCUUUGUGAAUGUGUGGGCUAUGGGUAGGGACCCUGCCUGCUGGGACAGACCUGAGGAGUUUUACCCGGAGAGGUUUGAAGGCAUCGACACUGAUUUCUAUGGAUCGCAUUAUGAGCUCCUUCCAUUUGGCGCCGGGCGGCGGAUCUGCCCUGCUAUCCCCAUGGGUGCCACCAUCGUGGAGUUCACGCUUGCUAGCUUGCUGCAUUCGUUCGACUGGGAGUUGCCGGACGGCGUGAGGAAAGAAGACGUAAGCAUGGAAGGGACUGGCAGACAGGUUUUCUGUAGGAAAACUCCUCUGUAUCUUGUUCCAUGUGUUUAUACUGGCUAA